rnacentral:piRNA from 1 species
AGCAAACUACAGAAGCAACCCUCCCC